rnacentral:rRNA from 1 species
GAAGGCGCUCUGCUGGGCCAUCACUGACGCUCAUGGACGAAAGCCAGGGGAGCGAAAGGGAUUAGAUACCCCUGUAGUCCUGGCCGUAAACGAUGAACACUAGGUGUCGGGGGAAUCGACCCCCUCGGUGUCGUAGCCAACGCGUUAAGUGUUCCGCCUGGGGAGUACGCACGCAAGUGUGAAACUCAAAGGAAUUGACGGGGGCCCGCACAAGCGGUGGAGUAUGUGGUUUAAUUCGAUGCAACGCGAAGAACCUUACCAGGGUUUGACAUCCUGCGAAUCUCUUGGAAACAGGAGAGUGCCUUCGGGAACGCAGUGACAGGUGGUGCAUGGCUGUCGUCAGCUCGUGUCGUGAGAUGUUGGGUUAAGUCCCGCAACGAGCGCAACCCACGUCUUUAGUUGCCAGCAUUUAGUUGGGCACUCUAGAGAGACUGCCGGUGAUAAACCGGAGGAAGGUGUGGAUGACGCCAAGUCAUCAUGCCCCUUACAUCCUGGGCUACACACGUACUACAAUGCUACGGACAAAGGGCUGCAAGUUCGCGAGGACAAGCAGAUCCCAUAAACCGUGGCUCAGUUCAGAUCGUAGGCUGCAACUCGCCUACGUGAAGGCGGAAUCGCUAGUAAUCGCAGGUCAGCAUACUGCGGUGAAUACGUUCCCGGGCCUUGUACACACCGCCCGUCACACCAUGGAAGUUGGCCACGCCCGAAGCCGUUACUCCAACCCUUGUGGAGGAGGACGUCGAAGGUGGGGCUGAUGACUGGGGUGAAGUCGUAACAAGGUAGCCGUA